UAAAACCAGCUCUUCGAGUGGUCAGGACGAAUAUUGGGUCUAAAGCGCUCGUAGCCGGACAUGUAGGUUCUUGGUUAAAUCCGACAGCAUAACUGUCGACCUGCUGGGAAUACCGCAAGUCUUGGGAGCGGGAGAGGAUAGAGGUAGUCAUAGGGCAGGGGUGAAAUCCAGUGAUCCUAUGGCGACCACCGAUGGCGAAGGCAUCUAUCUGGAACGUCUCCGACGGUGUGGGGCGAAAGCUAGGGGAGCGACCCGGAUUAGAUACCCGGUUAGUCCCAGCCGUAAACGAUGUUCGCUAGGUGUCAGGGGCGGUGCGACCGCUUCUGGUGCCGUAGGGAAGCCGUGAAGCGAACCACCUGGGAAGUACGGCCGCAAGGCUG
rnacentral:rRNA from 1 species